rnacentral:rRNA from 1 species
UACGGAAGGUGCAAGCAUUAAUCGGAUUUAUUGGGCGUAAAGGGCGCGUAGGCGGAUUGGCAAGUCAGAUGUGAAAUUUCGGGGCUUAACCCCGAAGCUGCAUUUGAAACUACUUAUCUUGAGGGUAGGCGGAGAAAAUGGAAUUCCACGUGUAGCGGUGAAAUGCGUAGAUACGUGGAGGAACACCGGUGGCGAAAGCGGUUUUCUAGCUUACUCCUGACGCUGAGGCGCGAGAGCAAGGGGAGCAAACAGG